UUACGGCCACAUCACGUUGAAACACCGGUUGUCGUACGAUCACCGAAGUUAAGCAACGUUGAGCCUGGUCAUUACUGAAAUGGGUGACCCCGUAGGAAUACUGUGCUGUA